UAAUACCGCAUACGCUCGAGAGAGAAGGUGGGGGAUCGCAAGACCUCACGUUAUAGGAGCGGCCGAUGUCCGAUUAGCUAGUUGGUGGGUAAAGGCCUACCAAGGCGACGAUCGGUAGCUGGUCUGAGAGGAUGAUCAGCCACACUGGGACUGAGACACGGCCCAGACUCCUACGGGAGGCAGCAGUGGGGAAUUUUGGACAAUGGGCGAAAGCCUGAUCCAGCCAUGCCGCGUGCGGGAAGAAGGCCUUCGGGUUGUAAACCGCUUUAGUCCGGGAAAAAGGGUGCGAGGAUUAAUACCCUUGUGCUUUGAUGGUACUGGAAGAAUAAGCACCGGCUAACUACGUG
rnacentral:rRNA from 1 species